CCCAGUGUUCAGACUACGUGUUC
rnacentral:miRNA from 2 species